ACUGGCGGACGGGUGAGUAGCGCGUGGGAACCUGCCCUGUUGUGGGGGAUAACCGAGGGAAACCUCGGCUAAUACCGCAUAAGCCGGGUGUCCUGAGAGGGGCAUUCGGGAAAGAUUUAUCGCGACAGGAGGGGCCCGCGUCGGAUUAGCUGGUUGGUGGGGUAACGGCCUACCAAGGCGAUGAUCCGUAGCUGGUCUGAGAGGAUGAUCAGCCACACUGGGACUGAGACACGGCCCAGACUCCUACGGGAGGCAGCAGUGGGGAAUAUUGGACAAUGGGCGCAAGCCUGAUCCAGCAAUGCCGCGUGAGUGAUGAAGGCCUUAGGGUUGUAAAGCUCUUUCACACGCGACGAUGAUGACGGUAGCGUGAGAAGAAGCCCCGGCUAACUCCGUGCCAGCAGCCGCGGUAAUACG
rnacentral:rRNA from 1 species